rnacentral:tRNA from 1 species
GGAGAUGUCGCAUAGCGGUUGAGUGCGCCGGUUUCGAAAACCGGAGGAGUCGUAAGGCUCUCGGAGGUUCGAAUCCUCCCAUCUCCG